rnacentral:rRNA from 1 species
GGCCAGCAUCGAUUCGGAUGGCAAGAUAAUGACAGUUGAACGUGGCUCCUNGGAGUGUUAUAGCUUCUGUUGAUGUUGCCNAUCUGGAUNGAGGACUGCGUCUUUNUGACUAGGAUGCUGGNGUAAU